rnacentral:ncRNA from 1 species
AAAUAUUUACUGGUAUACGGUUGCACAUUGUGCAUUAAAAGGGAACAUGGUGAAAAACCAUGACAGCCCCCGCUACUGUAAGAAGGACAGCCCCCUCAAUGAAUAUAGCAGGAAAAGGGCGCUGGAUGAUUUCGAGUCAGGAACCUGCCUUAUGCCAUCACAUAGU